GCGGAUAUGGUGGAAUUGGUAGACACGCUGGAUUUAGGUUCCAGUGGCGAAAGCUGUAAGAGUUCGAGUCUCUUUAUCCGCACCA
rnacentral:tRNA from 1 species